AGACUUACUUGGCAGGGGAGACACCGUGAUCUGGUGAAGGUGGUUCACCAUUGGCGAGGUUUGGCCAUUACACUUCGGCUAGGUUGCCCUGAUUGAAUUCCCCAAAUGUGGGAUUCUCAACUGCAUCAUUUAUCGUAGUGGUAGAAGUGCAUCCGUGUUCUCCACUG